AGAAAAUGAAUACAUUUCCACGAGGAAAUAUUGUAGAUAAUUGAUGGAGUUUUGCUCCUGUUGCCCAGGCUGGAAAUGCUAUCGUGUGAUCUUGGCUCACUGCAACCUCCCCAUCCCAGGUUCAAGCAAUUCUCCUGCCUCAGCCUCCCGACUAGCUGGGAUUACAGGCAUGCGCCACCACGCCUGGCUAAUUUUGUAUUUUUAGUAGAGAUGGGGAUUCUCCAUGUUGGCCAGGCUCAUCUCAAACUCCCAACCUGAGGUAAUCCACCC
rnacentral:lncRNA from 1 species